UACGGAGGGUGCAAGCGUUAUCCGGAUUCACUGGGUUUAAAGGGUGCGUAGGCGGUCUUGUGCGUCGGUGCUGAAAGCGCCCGGCUUAACCGGGCGAGGCGUGCCGAUACGAUAAGACUUGAGGGGCAGCGAGGGUGGCGGAACUCCUGGUGUAGUGGUGAAAUGCGUAGAGAUCAGGAAGAACACCCGUGGCGCAAGCGGCCACCUGGCUGCCAACUGACGCGGAGGCACGAGCGCGUGGGGAGCGAACCGG
rnacentral:rRNA from 1 species